rnacentral:lncRNA from 1 species
UUGGGAGUGAUUUAGUAAAUGCAGCCAUCAAGAAUGUGGUGAUGUUUGCUCUCUGGUUUUGCAUAGGCGGAUUUUGAAGAAGUCUCCCUCCCCCGACUCCCUGUAAUUUAUAAGAAAAUGGAAGAAGUAGCCUAACCUAAUGCUGGUCAUCUAUAAUUGAGGACAAAUUAGCAAGAGUCCAGAGGCUGAGCAUGGCUUUGAUCAGGGUGUCCAGCCUUUCUCAGUGCAAACCAUUCUGUGGAGAAAGGAGGAGUAGCUGAUUAAUCCCAUGUCAGCAGUCUUGACCCUACGUGGAAAAUAGAACCUUAGACGGCCCACUCCAUAAUAUAUCAG